CCCUGAUGAACUUUGGAGGUAUCGGAUGGACGACCACCACAGCUCGCAAGCGGUACUGGAGACUGCUGUGCAUGCCACAAGCAAGCUGGCGUGGCAUUGUUAGCCGAGCGAACGACGACCCGAAGCCGCAGCGAAAUCAGCUGCGCGUGAAGCUCACCUGAGCCGCUUGGCCAUCUGUGCCCGCACGUGAGCCUCCACUUUGGUGGGGUCCUGCACGGCCUCCGUGCCCAGCACGCGCAUCAGGUUCGAGAUCCGCACUGAGUGCGAC